rnacentral:rRNA from 1 species
AUUGAACGCUGGCGGCAGGCUUAACACAUGCAAGUCGAACGAUGACUCUCUAGCUUGCUAGAGAAGAUUAGUGGCGGACGGGUGAGUAACAUUUAGGAAUCUGCCUAGUAGUGGGGGAUAGCUCGGGGAAACUCGAAUUAAUACCGCAUACGACCUACGGGUGAAAGGGGGCGCAAGCUCUUGCUAUUAGAUGAGCCUAAAUCAGAUUAGCUAGUUGGUGGGGUAAAGGCCCACCAAGGCGACGAUCUGUAACUGGUCUGAGAGGAUGAUCAGUCACACCGGAACUGAGACACGGUCCGGACUCCUACGGGAGGCAGCAGUGGGGAAUAUUGGACAAUGGGGGCAACCCUGAUCCAGCCAUGCCGCGUGUGUGAAGAAGGCCUUUUGGUUGUAAAGCACUUUAAGUAGGGAGGAGAGGCUAAUGGUUAAUACCCAUUAGAUUAGACGUUACCUGCAGAAUAAGCACCGGCUAACUCUGUGCCAGCCGCCGCUGUAA